rnacentral:rRNA from 1 species
GACGAACGCUGGCGGCGUGCUUAACACAUGCAAGUCGAACGGAAAGGCCCUGCUUUUGUGGGGUGCUCGAGUGGCGAACGGGUGAGUAACACGUGAGUAACCUGCCCUUGACUUUGGGAUAACUUCAGGAAACUGGGGCUAAUACCGGAUAGGAGCUCCUGCUGCAUGGUGGGGGUUGGAAAGUUUCGGCGGUUGGGGUUGGACUCGCGGCUUAUCAGCUUGUUGGGGGGGGAGUGGCUGACCAAGGCUUUGACGGGUAGCCGGCCUGGGAGGGGGACCAGCCACAUUGGGACUGAGAUACGGCCCAGACUCCUACGGGAGGCAGCAGUGGGGAAUAUUGCACAAUGGGCGGAAGCCUGAUGCAGCAACGCCGCGUGCGGGAUGACGGCCUUCGGGUUGUAAACCGCUUUCGCCUGUGACGAAGCGUGAGUGACGGUAAUGGGUAAAGAAGCACCGGCUAACUACGUG